GGCGUCCUUAUCCUAGUCUUGCCUCUAAUGAGGCUGCUUCAGAAGUUCUACCAUUCAAGUGUGAUGUAAACUACUCUUUAACAAAAUCAGGUAUUCCUCUUUCAUUCCUAGUUUGAUCAUUUUAAGUCAUGAAUGGGUGAAUUUUAUAAAUUGAUUUUUCCUUUUGCAUCUAUUGAGAUGAUCCUAAGUACGGACACAGAUUUUUGAGUGUUAGACCAUUUUUAGUUCCUGGGGUAAACUGAAUUCAGUUGUGGUACGUUUGGAUACACACAUACGAGUGAGACUGGUCUAUAGAUUUUUCUUUCUUAUGCUGUUCUUGUCUCUAGUUUCAACUUCUUUUUGGUUUUGAUGAAUCUGGGUGUCAAGUUAGAAAUAAGCUUUACUUCCUGGGAGGUGAAGAGGAUUUUCAGGAUCAAGGGGCAACAGCUGUAUUCUGGGAUUCUGGGGGGUUUCCAUCCUGGGCUGAGUGGAGUGAGCCAGAAACAGUCUUAAGGAUGCAUCGCUUCCCACUAUAGAGGAGAACUUUGAAAUUCUUUCCAGAAGGAAAAAUAAAGGAGUGAUACCGUGUGUAGGUCAUCUAGGCUGCUAAGAGCUAGCAGACUACCCUGAACCCAGUGCCAGGGCUCCAGACAUCAGAGCCUGGCAGUAUACGGAGACUGCAGACCAAGGCACAGCAGUUCUGGAAGUGAGGAGCCAAGACCCACAUUGCGAGGCGGCCCUUUGCAGUGGGAAGCACCUUCCAGGCUAUGGAUGCUGGCGCAGGAGCAGUGCCUCCCCUCCUGGGCACGUCCUUCUGGUCUCCCUAUUUUAUCCCCAGCUUUAAGAGAAACUUUGCAUCAGUGGCUGCUUCACUUCUUGGCACAAAUUAGGUAGUCAUUAUUCUUGUUCCUUUUGGAGCUGUUUAUUCCUGGUGUUGGGCACUGCUCCUAAGGAAACGCCUUCAAAACCAAAGUAAAUUGAUCUAAACUAAAUGAAACACCUAGGGACACUGAGUUGAGGCAGACUCGGGUUACCUCGGUUUUCAUUAUUAGCCACGGUUUUUUCAUGAUUCUCUUGGCUUUUAGACCUCAAGUUCCUUUACCUACUAGUAGAGAUUCUAAAUAAUCUCGAAGUUUCAUGCUGGCUUAAAAAAAAAUGGUGCCAUAAUUUUGUGGUGCUUCUCCGACCUUGUAAUUAUUUCCUAAUCAGAAACACAUGGAUGGCUUUUACUGCUUUUAAGAGCCAGGGGCUUGGAGUAUAGAAACCUGGGUUCAUGGCUCAGCUCCUUCACUUAGGGCUGUGUGACCAUGGGUUAGUUACCUAAUCUCUCAGCCUCAUUUGCCUCCUCUGGGAAACAGGGAUAAAGCACUUUAUCUUAUAUGGUUAUGGUGAGGAUAAAAUGAGAUAAAAGUACCAAAAGAAAAAAAAAAAGCACCUUGUAAAGUGAUCUGCUUCAGAAGUCUGAGUCGGCCUGUUGGGCAGAUUUUGAGACCGUCUGGCUCUGAGGGUGUUCACCCAGGCCUGGGAUCCGCAGGAGGUCCUGGGCAGGGAGAGACAUCACACACCACCGCUGGGAGAAGAAAAACCGACACAGGAGGCCCAGAGCACAGACCCUCAGGGGCCAGCCGGGCCUGCAGUCCCGGCCUCGCUGCAAGGAGGUCAGGAACGACAGAAACAAUCCCAAGAUCACCGAGUCACAGGAAAUGAGCAGUAGAGACUGAAAGGUCAGCCUUGUUAUUUCCUGAUGCGGGAGGAAGUCAAAGCCUAGAAGCCAGCGGGUUCCUGGCUGCCUCACGCCGGUACAGGAGGACUGUGGUGAAGCCAGUAUUCUCAUUCUUGACCCGUUGGGCUCUCACUCACCGGCUGCUGUGGCUGAGCCUGGGCUGCUUGUGCGGCACAGGAGCUGCUGAUCUCCUUCCAGACUCUCUCGGUCAGGGCCCACCCAAGGUUGACUGGGCGGCAGAGCUUUAUGUGUUGAAUGGCGGUUGGCUUUCCCUGGGAGCAGGUGUGGUGGAAAGAGCUUGGGAGGGAGGUCCAGCCCUAGUCCUGGCUUUCUGCUUAUCACUUAUCACCAACCCUGGUGACUCACAGAUGCAGAGAGAGUGAGGGUGGGACAUGGACCCUGAGAGAUUAUCCAGGCCCCCUCCUUGGUUUAAGGGAAAGGAAUCUACGGCCCAGAGAAGUGAUGUUCUCUAGAGUCUGGGGCCUAAUCAAAGACAGAACUGGUAACUGAAUCCAUAUCUUUCAAAUCUGAAACUCAGUCUCCUCAAUGAGGCUAUUCCAGGGUUUCUGAAAUAAUAAUGGACACACGAAGCACUUGAAGAUCCUGUUAAGGCACAGGUAGGCCUGGGAGGAGACCCCAGAUUCUGCCCAGAUUUCUAACAAGUCCCAGGUGGAUUUUAAUCCUAAAGGAAAUCAACCCUGAAUAUUCAUUGAAAGGAAUGAAGUUCCAAUAAUUUGGCCACCUGAUUCGAAGAUCCGACUCAUUAGAAAAGACCCUGAUGCUGGGAAAGAUUGAAGGUAGGAG